GUGGGGAAUUUUGGACAAUGGGCGAAAGCCUGAUCCAGCAACGCCGCGUGAGUGAUGAAGGCCUUCGGGUUGUAAAGCUCUGUCAGAGGGAACGAAGCAGGUUGACCUAAUACGUCAGCCGAUGACGGUACUCUCAAAGGAAGCACCGGCUAACUCUGUGCCAGCAGCCGCGGUAAGACAGAGGGUGCAAGCGUUGUUCGGAAUUACUGGGCGUAAAGGGCGUGUAGGCGGCGAAGUAUGUCCGGUGUGAAAUCCCUCGGCUUAACUGAGGAAGGGCAUCGGAAACUACUUUGCUAGAGUGCGAGAGAGGGUGGCGGAAUUCCCGGUGUAGAGGUGAAAUUCGUAGAUACCGGGAGGAACACCAGAGGCGAAGGCGGCCACCUGGCUCGUAACUGACGCUGAGACGCGACAGCGUGGGGAGCAAACAGGAUUAGAUACCCCUGUAGUCC
rnacentral:rRNA from 1 species